rnacentral:rRNA from 1 species
GAUCUAGCCAUGGGCAGGUUGAAGGUUGAGUAACAUCAACUGGAGGACCGAACCGACUAAUGUUGAAAAAUUAGCGGAUGACUUGUGGCUAGGGGUGAAAGGCCAAUCAAACCUGGAGAUAGCUGGUUCUCCCCGAAAGCUAUUUAGGUAGCGCCUCGGACGAAUACUACUGGGGGUAGAGCACUGUUAAGGCUAGGGGGUCAUCCCGACUUACCAACCCUUUGCAAACUCCGAAUACCAG